UCUGGUGAUGAUAGCGAGGUGGAACUACCUCUUCCCAUUCCGAACAGAGUCGUCAAACGCCUCUGCGGCGACGAUAGUAAGUGGGCAACUGCUUGCGAAAAUAGCACGUCGCCAGUC
rfam:Microgenomates (Woesebacteria) bacterium GW2011_GWA1_39_8 TT61_C0014, whole genome shotgun sequence.